AAAGAUUAAGCCAAGCAUGAUGUAAGUGUAAAUAUUCUAGUUUGGAACUGCGAAUGGCUCAUUAUAUCAGUUAUAGUUUAUUUGGUGAAGUGUACUACUUGAAUAACCGUAGUAAUACUAGGGCUAAUACAUGAGAAAGUCCUCUGGUGAGGUUUGUUUAUUAGAAUGAAAACCAUAUGCUUCGACCUGAUAGUGAGUAAUAGUAACCUAUCUUAUCGCACGCUUAAUGUAGCGAUAUUCUUCCAAGUUUCUGCCCUUCAGCUUCUUUCU
rnacentral:rRNA from 1 species